CCUCUCCUCUCUUAUUCACACUCCAGUGGGACUGUGGAUGUCACAUUCUACUUCACACUCUGCACUAUCCUGCUUACACCAUACACACACACACUGGCAUGUGCACACUAACAUGCACACUGGCAUAACACCUUUCAUUUCAUUCUCUGUGCAUGCACAAAUACACACACACACACACACAAACACCAGUCAUUGAAUGUCACGCCACAAAUAAACAUGCAUUAUUCAUUGAAAAACUCACAUGUACUAGACACAGCGCACACACACUUCUUAAGGCUCAUGUCACUGGUACUCACUCUGAGGGCCACUAUCAAAAAACAUCAACAAGGCAGCCUAAGCAGCACAUAUCUUAUGCAUGUGUGUGUGAUCUUUCAUGUGUUCCUUUAGAAGAUGACUAAUGGUCAGGUUUUCUUUAUCUCUCAGGGAUUCACUGGAAUACAUAAAAGGUCAUUUUACAACAAAGAAAGCUUCUGAUAACCAUCGCAAUUUAAUGUUGGGAGUUGCCAUAGCAACCUGUACAUUAUGGUUUUGUAUUUUGUUCUCUUCUACAGACGUGGGCCUUUAAUGGAAAGGGUAGUGCUGCAAAAUUACAGCUUUUCAGAUGAACAGAGUUUCUGAAAUGGCACAAUCUGAAUCAUAAAAAUGUGUUCUCCCACGUCAAAAAAAUGAUCCACGAUAAUGUUUUUUCAUAAAAGAUGUAACAGACAGUGUCUGGUUCUAUAAUGAAUGUUGCUGUGGACGAGCUGCCUGAUAACUCUGGUUGAGUUCAGUUGUAGAUAGGAAGACUUGCAACAACACACAGCCUAGCAGUAGCCUGUGUAUGGAGCAACGUUUUGAAUCCUAAUAUUUGAAGUCAAUACUGGACAAUAUUGGUGUUGUUUUCUGCAUUGACCAUCACCCCCAGCACAGAUGUAGGAUCUUAAUUUGAUCACCCUGUUGUAGGAUAACUUUCUUACAAUGCAGGACAUUUAAUAGUGUAUUUGAGGUUUUAAAAGGUUUCGCAAGUUUGUAAUUUCCCUUACGAAAAAUGUAUUAACCCUGACAAAAAAGUCCAUUAAUUAUAAUUCACAUAAUAAUUCACAUUUUCUGUUGCUGCAUGAUUAUUUUCCUGCUGUAGCAAACUGGCUCAAAUUAAGAUCAUACAUCUGUACCAAUCACAGACUAGUAUACUGUAGUACCAGGACUGUGAUCUUAGGAAGUGUACUGAGUGAACUUUCCUGGUUAAAUAAAAUGAAAUAAGCAUAUAGUGUCUGUAAAUAAUGGAUUGUCUUUUUCUGAGUGUGUUUGUCGGUGUGUGUCGGUUUGUCAGUGAAGUAUAUGUACACGCUGUGUUUGCCUACUCAUUCAUUUGAAAGCAGUUAUCCUCAACAUUUUCUGGUGAUAUUGAAAAGGAGCCAGGAGAGGAUGUACUUCAACUAUCUAACAAGGGAAUCAAGAGGGUACCGCUUUAAGUAUUCAAGAAGAUGAAAUCCUGUUUAACUCAGAACAGAGAAGGGAAAGAGGGGAGAUUGUAGCUUUCUGGGCAUGCAGUAAUAUAGAGGAAUAGGGGAUGAAAAAUGGGAGCAAGCCUAGUGAAUCAUACAGUAUCGCAUAGGGCUCCAGUGCACAAAACAACAACAAUAGCGAGACUAUAUACAAGGGGGAACCGGUACAGAGUCAAUGUGCGGGGGCACCGGUUAGUUGAAGUAAUAUGUACAUGUAGGUAAAGUUAUUAAAGUGACUAUGCAUAAAAGUUAACAGAGAGUAGCAGCGGUGUAAAAGAGGGGGAGAGGGGGCAAUAGUUUGGGUAGCCUUUUGAUUAAGUGUUCAGGAGUCUUAUGGCUUGGGGGUAGAAGCUGUUUAGAAGCCUCUUGGAACUAGACUUGGCGCACCGGUACCGCUUGCCAUGCGGUAGCAGAGAGAGCAGUCUAUGACUAGGGUGGCAGGAGUCAUUGACAAUUUUUAGGGCCUUCCUCUGACACUGCCUGGUAUAGAGGUCCUGGAUGGC
rnacentral:lncRNA from 1 species